rnacentral:rRNA from 1 species
GAGAUGUGUGAUGACGCAUAUCAAUAAGCGGAGGAAAAGAAACUAACAAGGAUUCCCUUAGUAACGGCGAGUGAAGCGGGAAGAGCUCAAAUUUGAAAUCUUCAAGGUUCUACCUUGACGAAUUGUAGUUUAUAGAAGUGUUUUCUGUUAGUAGAGUGGCAAAAGUUCUUUGGAAUAGGACAUCAUAGAGGGUGAGAAUCCCGUAUUUGGUCAUUCUUUCUAGCCUUGUGAUACACUUUCAACGAGUCGGAUUGUUUGGGAAUGCAGUCCAAAAUGGGUGGUAAAUUUCAUCUAAAGCUAAAUAUUGGCGAGAGACCGAUAGCGAACAAGUACCGUGAGGGAAAGAUGAAAAGAACUUUGAAAAGAGAGUUAAACAGUACGUGAAAUUGUCAAAAGGGAAGCGUUUGACACCAGUGUUGUUUUUCCGAAAAUCAAUUACGAAUGUUUUGUUUUUAAGAAGUUAUGACUUCAUCGGCUUGCUUCUUUCUUUACGAAACUUUCUUAAUGCACUUUUCGGUUAACAAGUCAACAUCAAUUUCUUUUGUUGUAAAAGGGUAUGAGGAAGGUGGCUUUCUUUUCGGAGAAAGUGUUUAUAGCCUUGUACCUCUGCAAUCGGAGAGAUUGAGGUCUGCAGCGUAGAUCCUUCGGGGUUAGAUACAUUUGUGCUAAGUUAUAGCUUUUCAUAGACAACUUGUUGAUUAUGAUUAGUCUUGUAGCUUACUCGCUUAUGCUAUUUUACCUACGCUUAGGAUGUUGAUAGUCACAGCGUGUAC